GAUCCUGGCUUAGGAUGAACGCUAGCGACAGGCUUAACACAUGCAAGUCGAGGGCAGCAUAGAAGUAGCAAUACUUGGUGGCGACCGGCGCACGGGUGAGUAGCGCGUAUGCAACCUACCUAUCAGAGGGGAAUAACCCGGCGAAAGUCGGACUAAUACCGCAUAAAACAGGGGCACCGCAUGGUGAUAUUUGUUAAAGAAAUUCGCUGAUAGAUGGGCAUGCGUUCCAUUAGGUAGUUGGUGAGGUAACGGCUCACCAAGCCGACGAUGGAUAGGGGAACUGAGAGGUUGGUCCCCCACACUGGUACUGAGACACGGACCAGACUCCUACGGGAGGCAGCAGUGAGGAAUAUUGGUCAAUGGGCGGGAGCCUGAACCAGCCAAGUCGCCGUGAAGGAAGAAGGAUCUAUGGUUCGUAAACUUCUUUUGCAGGGGAAUAAAGUGCAGGACGUGUCCUGUUUUGUAUGUACCCUGAGAAUAAGGAUCGGCUAACUCCGUGCCAGCCGCGGC
rnacentral:rRNA from 1 species